rnacentral:rRNA from 1 species
GACGUAGGGCGCAAGCGUUGUCCGGAUUUAUUGGGCGUAAAGAGCUCGUAGGCGGCUUGCCACGUCUGCCGUGAAAACCAGCAGCUUAACUGUUGGCUUGCGGUUGAUACGGGUUGGCUGGAGUUCGGUAGGGGAGACUGGAAUUCCUGGUGUAGCGGUGAAAUGCGCAGAUAUCAGGAGGAACACCAAUUGCGAAGGCAGCUCGCUGGGACGUUACUGACGCUGAGACGCGAAAGCGUGGGGAGCAAACAGG